rnacentral:rRNA from 1 species
GAUGAACGCUGGCGGCGUGCCUAAUACAUGCAAGUCGAGCGAACGGACGAGAAGCUUGCUUCUCUGAUGUUAGCGGCGGACGGGUGAGUAACACGUGGAUAACCUACCUAUAAGACUGGGAUAACUUCGGGAAACCGGAGCUAAUACCGGAUAAUAUUUUGAACCGCAUGGUUCAAAAGUGAAAGACGGUCUUGCUGUCACUUAUAGAUGGAUCCGCGCUGCAUUAGCUAGUUGGUAAGGUAACGGCUUACCAAGGCAACGAUGCAUAGCCGACCUGAGAGGGUGAUCGGCCACACGGGAACUGAGACACGGUCCAGACUCCUACGGGAGGCAGCAGUAGGGAAUCUUCCGCAAUGGGCGAAAGCCUUACGGAGCAACGCCGCGUGAGUGAUGAAGGUCUUCGGAUCGUAAAACUCUGUUAUGAGGGAAGAACAUAUGUGUAAGUAACUGUGCACAUCUUGACGGUACCUAAUCAGAAAGCCACGGCUAACUACGUG